rnacentral:sRNA from 1 species
GCGUCCUUGAGUAUAAGGUAGUUACGUAAACAGCUCAAUUUUAGCAAGCUUUCAACGCUUUCGACAUCCUCUUAUUCUCACAUAGAAGGGGGUAAGAAAGCCCUUGUCCUGUUUCCUGUUCUGUGUAUAUGGGUCAAAUGAAGACGUGCAGCGUUUGCCGAUUCAUCAGCCCUCCGGCCUUUAGAUAGUGCAGUUUCCUCCCGGGCAUGUCAUAACGAGAUAAGAAGGAAGGCAUAAAUCGGAUAAUACUGGUAAUGGCUACCACUUGCCACGUUUCAUUAUUUAUCAAAGGCUAGACAGAUAGGCUGAUCAGUGCUGCAAAGCAUAGUCACAACCCUGACACGUCUCUGGAUAGCGACGUAGUACUGAGAGAAAUUUUGCCAACCAAGACAAAAAAUGGCGGAGGUUUGGCCAAUUGGAGAGGCUGCAGCUGAUGGUGUAAGAGCAAGUGUUACAGUCGUCAUUUUACAGAACAAUUGCAAGUCGGGCUAAGGAACCGGCAAUGAAUAACGAAUAACGUCGUAUCUCGGCCAUUAUAUACAAUGACAGAUACGGAGAUACAGAUAUAUAGUCGUCAAUGCCUACAUGUUAUACCGAUGUCCUUUGACGUCUUCGACCGAGCAUUUUAGUUUUUAGGAAGUUAUACGCGCCCACCAUAUAAGAAGGCGCAAGGAUGAGAAGAAGAGGGAAAGCAGAAUCAACAGUGCAGUUGAUCAUCACAUUAGAUUAUUUUAGUAAGAUGGAGAUUUCCGAUCUUCC